AUAGGCGCUUUAGUCACUCACACCUUCGAUUGCCCUGCUCGCUCACCCACAAAAGUGAGCAAAAGUGGGACUAGAGACUGAGGACAAACGGACAGAUAUACGACACAGACACAGACACAGUCCUGACUGUGAAUCCGGAAGAUGCCCCUUUGUCCCUGCGCUGGGCUUACACAAAGAGUUCAGGGAAGACUCAAGAGUAAGUACGCAGUGGAUUCCUGAGUAGAUCUAGAAAAAACAUUCACACUCAAGUUUACUCCUGGAUAUCUCUCUUCUUUUCCAUAGCCCUACACGUUGAAAAUAGGAGGACAGAAGCUCGCACAUUUAAUAGGGAUGGAUCACUCUCGGAAAAGACGCAUUCAAGAUGCUCUAGCUUUAGCCAUACUGACGUCGUUUUAAAUUUGGAUGGCAAGGAUCAGUUCUCUCUUUGUUUUCUGCAUCUCCUUAGAGUCAUCUUUUUAAUCCCAUUCUUGGAACUUGCUUCUUAGAAGUGAAGGGGCUUGGUGAAAGCAGAGAGGGGAAGCCACAUUUGAAAGGCUUUUUGCUGCAGAUGGGUUGCUGUGCAAAUGGGUGUGGACCUCCAUAAGGUUGAGGGUUAAGGACCAGUAAGCAGGCUCACACAGAAGCCUGUGUAGAGCAAAUUUUGUUUUUUCAGUCUUUUGAAACACUCUAGUAGUACCUUUAGUGUGUGUGUGUGUGUGUGUGUGUGUGUGUGUGUGUGUGUCUGUGUCUGUGUCUGUGUCUGUGUCUGUGUUACAUGUCCACCACAGCACCCUGUGUAGGUCAGAUGACAAUUUACUCUCUCCUACCAUGUGGUACCCAGGGACUAAAAUCAGGUCACCAGGUUGGUGGCAAUACGUGCUGAGCAAGCUCACUGAUGCCUUCUGUAAGUUCUUAAGGAAGUAAGUUUGAUGUAUCAUAUAUAGUGAGACACAUUUCCUAGAUAUUUUGUCAAACAUUUUUCUGUAUGUUUAUAUAAGGGUAGUUGCACAUGAAACAAAUUUGUAUUGGUGGACAUUCUGCCUUCCUAGGUAUGUAUAAACCCAAGCCAGUACUUGAAAACUCAAAUAGAAUAAUGGAUGAGCUCCCUCGGCAA
rnacentral:lncRNA from 1 species